GGUGGCUUAGUAGUAGAGUGCUUGCCUUGCAUGCAGGAGGCCCUGGGUUCGAUUCCUCAGCACCA
rnacentral:tRNA from 1 species